ensembl:lncRNA
GGAAAACCUAAAGACAGAGCUGAGCGAAAAUUACCGACCAUCUAAAACUACAGAGUGAAGAAAAGUGGAAAAAAAGUAUUGUGUGAGCUCAUUAUGGAAGGAAGGAUGUCACAGUUCAACAGAGCGUCAAAAGACAAAUCUGAUGGAAAAGAAAGAAAGGGAAGAACAGCACAGAGACAAAAGAGAAAAGGAGCUAAAAAUAUCAGUACUGCCGGUUGCUCAAAGGAGGUAAUAAUUCACACUCGAACAUGCAGCCACACAUUUAUUCACACACCUUUCUGUAUAAAAACAGACACAUUUUUUAAUACAUACUGUAUUUAUG